CAGAUUCUAGAACCUCAGACAGAGCAGGGCCCUGCUGUCACCUUGGCUUUGCACUUCCGGCUUCUAGAACCGUACAGGACAGAUUUCUGCUGUUUUCAGCACCCCCCGCCCCCACCAAUUUGUGUCGGUGUUUGGGGCAAUUAUCAGGAUCGUUGUGUGCUUGCGAGACGCCCGGAUGUGCGUGUGACCCCGGAAAUCACGGCGCGACGAGGCCGCCCCGCCCGGAAGAGGCGGGAGCAGAGAGGAAGCGCCGGGCCGCGGGCGGCGACCGCGCGGGUUGUGACCCUUCUCCGCUGAGUGAAGACGGAGGAAAACGUCCCAGACGCCGGAGGUUGGACGGGGCUGACUGUGAAGUACAUCAAACAGUCAAAAUCCCGCCAAAAGUUCCUCUCGAAAAAUCAAUGAAUGGAUCAUGAUCAAAGUGUUCGAAUUUCCCGGCUUCCCCAAAUAACAGUAUUCUUGAUGAUACUUCUCAAAGACGAGCACACAUCAAGAAACAGGACCCUUCGGCGCACCGCGGUGCUGAGCUCACAAAGUUUGCUGAAUGCAUGGGUGCUUCCUUCGCUCGUGCUAAAACAGGAAACUUCUCGUCUAUCAUCAUGACCAAACUGUGCUAAUAAACCCAAGUUAUACUUUCA